UGGGGUCCCCGAGCAUUUUUGGGGUCCCUUUUCAGGCUCGGGAUGGCGCAGCAGGAAACCUACGGGAACUGGCUCGGCCCCAAGCGCCUGCAGCGGCAGCCAGGAAUUUACUCCGUGGCCGGGAAGAUGUCUCCGGUGGGUGAUUUCAGACCAGCCUCUCCCGACAGUUUCGAGGACGAUUACGACGACGUUUCCAUGCCGGGAUCCGAGCAGGGCCCCCCGGCCAAAGGUGC